UACACUCCUACGGGAGGCAGCAGUGGGGAAUUUUGGACAAUGGGCGAAAGCCUGAUCCAGCAAUGCCGCGUGCGUGAAGAAGGCCUUCGGGUUGUAAAGCACUUUUGUCCGGAAAGAAAUCCUUGGCUCUAAUACAGUCGGGGGAUGACGGUACCGGAAGAAUAAGCACCGGCUAACUACGUGCCAGCAGCCGCGGUAAUACGUAGGGUGCGAGCGUUAAUCGGAAUUACUGGGCGUAAAGCGUGCGCAGGCGGUUUGCUAAGACCGAUGUGAAAUCCCCGGGCUCAACCUGGGAACUGCAUUGGUGACUGGCAGGCUAGAGUAUGGCAGAGGGGGGUAGAAUUCCACGUGUAGCAGUGAAAUGCGUAGAGAUGUGGAGGAAUACCGAUGGCGAAGGCAGCCCCCUGGGCCAAUACUGACGCUCAUGCACGAAAGCGUGGGGAGCAAACAGGAUUAGAAACCCGGGUAGUCCCAUG
rnacentral:rRNA from 1 species